rnacentral:rRNA from 1 species
UAGCCGAUCCCCCGGAGAUUAACAAUCUGAACCGAGGGGUCGGCUUUUAGUUUUUUACGAAGUUUGGUAAUGAAUACAUCCAUACUGCGGGCAUUGAAAAAAGAGUCAUCACCCCAUAGUUCCAUCAGGUAUGGAUUGAAACCAAAGGUAUAAAAGUGCAAAUUUUGGAGGAGGAUUUGGAGGUGUUCGGAAUUUAGAGGUGUUACGUUUGAGUUCGAUACCCUUACGUUUGGGGAAUACAUCUUUUGAGAUAAAAGAUAUUCAGGUGAAUUAUAAAGAACCGGAAGCUGAUUGGUCACAGAAAAAUGAGGACGGUUCUUUAGGCUUGGACUUUAUUAAUUUAUUUCAGCAGGUUAUUAUUAAUUUUGAUGAUAUGUUUUUAGAAGUAACUAUGAAUUAAUAUUGGAUAAAGCUCCUAUCAAAAGAUUCGUUUGAUAUAUAUCAAAUGAAUAAAUGACAUAUAUAUUCCUUUCGUUUGAUGAUUAUACUUUAUUCGUUUGAUAAUAGUCAAAAGAAAGAAAGUAAGGGAUGUCCUGUCCUGAAAUAAGUUGACAAAACACCAGGGUAAACUUAUGUCAGAAUCGAAACAUGUAGACUGUAUCCGUCGUUUUUCCUUUUUGGCAGUAUANGCCGGCAACGGUGAAACUCAAAGGAAUUGACGGGGGCCCGCACAAGCGGAGGAACAUGUGGUUUAAUUCGAUGAUACGCGAGGAACCUUACCCGGGUUUGAACGCAUUUGGACCGGAGUGGAAACACUUCUUCUAGUAAUAGCCAUUUGCGAGGUGCUGCAUGGUUGUCGUCAGCUCGUGCCGUGAGGUGUCGGCUUAAGUGCCAUAACGAGCGCAACCCUUAUCUUUAGUUACUAACAGGUCGAGCUGAGGACUCUAAAGAGACUGCCAGCGUAAGCUGUGAGGAAGGUGGGGAUGACGUCAAAUCAGCACGGCCCUUACAUCCGGGGCGACACACGUGUUACAAUGGUGGGGACAAAGGGCAGCUACCUGGCGACAGGAUGCUAAUCUCCAAACCCCAUCUCAGUUCGGAUCGAAGUCUGCAACCCGACUUCGUGAAGCUGGAUUCGCUAGUAAUCGCGCAUCAGCCAUGGCGCGGUGAAUACGUUCCCGGGCCUUGUACACACCGCCCGUCAAGCCAUGGGAGUUGGGGGUACCUAAAGUCCGUAACCGCAAGGAUCGGCCUAGGGUAAAACCGAUGACUGGGGCUAAGUCGUAACAAGGUAGCCGUACCGGAAGGUGCGGCUG